AUGAAGGUCGGAGCUAGGGUUUUCACCCUGGAAAUCAAGACUCGGUACUCGAGGAGCACCACCCAAAUUGAAGUCCCCCAGUGUUGCUGCCCCACUUGCCGAGGCCGCUGCUACAAACCACCAAUCAUCAAACUCACAGGCAUCAUGUGUGCGGUUUGGACGGGCAUGAUCUCGCAGCUGAACUGUGCCCUCAUAACAACAUCGCCACCCCACACGGGCCAACCUCCACCUUCUGCACCGCGCACGGGCAAGCCCUCACCUUCUUCGGAGAUUGAUCCUGCCGCCACCAAGGCAGAGGCCAGCAGCAGCGACACCAGGGAAGGCCGCAGUGGACAGUGGCUGGCGGAUUGGCUCCUGGCGUCGCCUGGGGGGCGACGUCUAGGAGUGAACCGUUCCGUAGGCUCAAGCCAUUUUAUGCUCCUGUCUUUGGUGUUCCUUGGGCCACUUUUGAGCGUCAACACAUGGAUGAAGGUUGGAGAGGGGAGGCGAUACUCGGGUCUGAUGCAAGAGUGCUCGAGGUGCGGCGGAGGGUGGGUUGGCUGCAACCAGCGAUGGAGCUCAGAAACAGGUGCAAGUGAGGAGAAGAAUGAAGCCAUAUGGAUUUCCAUGAGUACAUUUAGAGCUGCUGAGAACCUAUGCAAGAACCUAUGCAAGGAUUUGUUUUUUGGCGAGAUGCGUCCGGCAGGCAGUGGCGCUUACCAGAUCGAUUCGAUCUCGGCUAGUUGUGGCACAGUUGCAGCAGGAGCGGCUCGAAACAGGCUAGGAAGGUGUGCAUCGCAUGGGGGAGCUCCUAUGCUCCGCUCGUUGCGGCAAAUAGUUGACCGCCCGCACAGGAGUGCUCCGACUGGGCCGGCCCAUAUUUGGGCAUACUGUGUAAAGCUUGAACUGGGCCAGCCCAUCUCCUGUCCCAAGCAUGCUCGUCCUAUCGCACACCAUCAAUCGUUCACGGACCAGCCCAUGACGGGUGCUUCAUACAGAAAAAAUACCGCAAAAAAUGAACGAAAAGGAUUCAACCUCAAACCUCCCAUGCUUCAAGCCCAGCCGUGCGCAAUUCCCUUUUCCUUUUCCAUCCCCUCCUCCUCCGCUGCAGCUGCCCUGCUGCUUCCCCUCCCCCUCCUCGCCGAGGCGCCUCACGAGCGCUGUGCCCGCACGAGCGCCGCGAGGGAGGUGGCUAGGCCGGAAGCGGCCAAUACGGCGAGGCGGUGCCUGUCUGGCGGCCGUACGGCCUCCGCCGCGUGCGCGACCUUGCUCCUGCGCCUCCUACCCGGGCUGGACCUCCCCCCGUGCGUCGUCCCCACCCGCAUCACCAAGCUUCCCAACGGCGUCCGCGACUCCGCGUCGCCUCCGAGGAUGUCCAGGUACUACCCACCUCCCCCUCCCCUCUUCCUUCCGAUGAGUCCAUGGCUGACAGCGGCACCGUCUCCGAGCUCACGAACACCUGGAUUUGACAGGGAGCAGCACAGGGAUGGCGAAUUAUGCCGCUCUGCUCUGAUGAUGCCGUCAGAGCACAACUUGCUCGUUCUCAGCAUGAGGAAGAAGAUGAUUUAA
rnacentral:rRNA from 1 species